rnacentral:rRNA from 1 species
UACAGAGGGCUCAAGCGUUGUUCGGAUUCAUUGGGCGUAAAGGGUGCGUAGGCGGCGCGGUAAGUCGGGGGUGAAAUUUCGAGGCUUAACUUCGAAACUGCAUUCGAUACUGCCGUGCUAGAGGACUGGAGAGGAGACUGGAAUUUACGGUGUAGCGGUGAAAUGCGUAGAUAUCGUAAGGAAGACCAGUGGCGAAGGCGGGUCUCUGGACAGUUCCUGACGCUGAGGCACGAAGGUCAGGGGAGCAAACGGG